AGUGAACGCUGGCGAUAGGCCUAACACAUGCAAGUCGAACGGCAGCACAGUAAGAGCUUGCUCUUACGGGUGGCGAGUGGCGGACGGGUGAGGAAUACAUCGGAAUCUACUUUUUCGUGGGGGAUAACGUAGGGAAACUUACGCUAAUACCGCAUACGACCUACGGGUGAAAGCAGGGGAUCUUCGGACCUUGCGCGAUUGAAUGAGCCGAUGUCGGAUUAGCUAGUUGGCGGGGUAAAGGCCCACCAAGGCGACGAUCCGUAGCUGGUCUGAGAGUAUGAUCAGCCACACUGGAACUGAGACACGGUCCAGACUCCUACGGGAGGCAGCAGUGGGGAAUAUUGGACAAUGGGCGCAAGCCUGAUCCAGCCAUACCGCGUGGGUGAAGAAGGCCUUCGGGUUGUAAAGCCCUUUUGUUGGGAAAGAAAAGCAGCAGGUUAAUACCCCGCUGUUCUGACGGUACCCAAAGAAUAAGCACCGGCUAACUUCGUG
rnacentral:rRNA from 1 species